AAAAGUAACAUUACUAUUAAAGUUUUACUAUCUUUUUAUUUUUUAUCCAUAUUUUUCUACUUUAUCUUUUAAUUUGGCUCUUUUAUAAUAAGAUCCAUAUUAUUAUCUUUCACCAUAUAGCCAUGUUACAACACAACAACAGCCUCUAUGUUGCCUUCUAAAGCUUUGUUUCACCAAUUCGGUGGAAAAACAGCAAAUCUCACCAUGCCUCCACCA
rnacentral:lncRNA from 1 species